rfam:Culex pipiens quinquefasciatus supercont3.368 genomic scaffold, whole genome shotgun sequence.
GGCUCCGUGGCUUAAUGGUUGCGGCUUCUGCCUCGAAAACAGAAGGUUCAGGGAUCAAAUCCUGAUCGGUUCCC